rnacentral:rRNA from 1 species
UACGUAGGGUGCAAGCGUUGCCCGGAUUUAUUGGGCGUAAAGCGCGUGUAGGCGGUCUGUUAUGUCGGGUGUGAAAGCCCUCAGCUCAACUGAGGAAGUGCGCCCGAAACUGGCAGACUUGAGUGCCGGAGAGGAUAGCGGAACACCCGGUGUAGAGGUGAAAUUCGUAGAUAUUCGCAAGAACACCAGUGGCGAAGGCGGCUCACUGGCCCGAUACUGACGCUGAGGCACGAAAGCGUGGGGAGCAAACAGG